UUUUUUUUUGCAAAUUGUAUCUAUCUAUAAUAUAUUUUUAUUUUAUAGUUUACAAUUGUUAUUAAGUAACGUCGUGCCAAACCCAUCCCGCCAAACCCGUCCCGUAAAAAACCAUUUAUUUAUAUUAAUGUUGAUCUUAUUUAUGAUAUGUUUAUAAAUCAUUGUCUAAAUAUUUUUGUCGAUGCGGGACGUUGAACCCACACAUUUUUUGCUAAUUGGUUAAUAUAUGUUUAUUUUUAAAAUUUUGAAUCAUAAAAUAUGACAGAAAAAAUUAAGAUUUUUUAAACUCUAUAUAUUAUAUAAUGAUGGUAAAAAAUUGUAAUAUAUCAAACUUUUUAUAAGUUUAAAUAUUAAUAAUGUUUUAUAAAUUUUAAAUAUAUAAAUAAUAAUAUUUAAAAAAUUAA
rnacentral:sRNA from 1 species